UACGAAGGGGGCUAGCGUUGCUCGGAAUCACUGGGCGUAAAGCGCACGUAGGCGGAUAUUUAAGUCGAGGGUGAAAUCCCGGGGCUCAACCCCGGAACUGCCUUCGAUACUGGGUAUCUUGAGUUCGAGAGAGGUGAGUGGAAUUCCGAGUGUAGAGGUGAAAUUCGUAGAUAUUCGGAGGAACACCAGUGGCGAAGGCGGCUCACUGGACUGGUAUUGACGCUGAGGUGCGAAAGCGUGGGGAGCAAACAGG
rnacentral:rRNA from 1 species